GUGGCGAAUGAAGCGGGAAAAGCUCAAGUUUGAAAUCUGGCGGGCGACCGUCCAGAGUUGUAAGCUGGAGAGGUGUCGUCGGAUGCGGUCCGGGCUCAAUUUCCUUGGAACAGGAGGUCAUGGAGGGUGAGAACCCCGUAUGUGGCUUGGGUGCCGUGGUCCUUGUGACGUAUCCUCUAAGAGUCGGGUUGUUUGGGAAUGCAGCUCAAAAUGGGUGGUAAAUUUCAUCUAAAGCUAAAUAUUGGUGAGAGACCGAUAGCAAACAAGUAGAGUGAUCGAAAGAUGAAAAGUACUUUGAAAAGAGAGUGAAACAGUACGUGAAAUUGUUGAAAGGGAAGCGUUUGGCAUCAGCCCAUGGCGGCGGUCGAACAUCUGGGCUUCUGCCCAGUGCACUCGGCAGUCGCCGGGCCAGCGUCGGUUCCACCUGCUGGAGAAAGGCCUUGGGGAAGUGGCACUCCCUUGUGGAGUG
rnacentral:rRNA from 1 species